AUUGAACGCUGGCGGCAUGCUUUACACAUGCAAGUCGAACGGUAACAGGGAGCUUGCUCCGCUGACGAGUGGCGAACGGGUGAGUAAUAUAUCGGAACGUACCCAAGAGUGGGGGAUAACGUAGCGAAAGUUACGCUAAUACCGCAUACGAUCUACGGAUGAAAGUGGGGGAUCGCAAGACCUCAUGCUCCUGGAGCGGCCGAUAUCUGAUUAGCUAGUUGGUGAGGUAAAGGCUCACCAAGGCGACGAUCAGUAGCUGGGCUGAGAGGACGACCAGCGACACUGGAACUGAGACAGGGGCCAGACUCCUAAGGGAGGCAGCAGUGGGGAAUUUUGGACAAUGGGCGAAAGCCUGAUCCAGCAAUGCCGCGUGAGUGAAGAAGGCCUUCGGGUUGUAAAGCUCUUUUGUCAGGGAAGAAACGGGAGUGGCUAAUAUCCAUUCCUAAUGACGGUACCUGAAGAAUAAGCACCGGCUAACUACGUGCCAGCCGCCGCCGUAA
rnacentral:rRNA from 1 species